rnacentral:rRNA from 1 species
AAUCUGUCACUUGCGGAUGGGCCUGCGGCGCAUUAGCUAGUUGGUGAGGUAACGGCUCACCAAGGCGACGAUGCGUAGCCGACCUGAGAGGGUGAACGGCCACACUGGGACUGAGACACGGCCCAGACUCAUACGGGAGGCAGCAGUAGGGAAUCUUCCGCAAUGGGCGAAAGCCUGACGGAGCAACGCCGCGUGAGUGAUGAAGGUUUUCGGAUCGUAAAGCUCUGUUGCCAGGGAAGAACGUCCGGUAGAGUAACUGCUAUCGGAGUGACGGUACCUGAGAAGAAAGCCCCGGCUAACUACGUGCCAGCAGCCGCGGUAAUACGUAGGGGGCAAGAGUUGUCCGGAAUUAUUGGGCGUAAAGCGCGCGCAGGCGGUCAUUUAAGUCUGGUGUUUAAGGCCAAGGCUCAACCUUGGUUCGCACUGGAAACUGGGUGACUUGAGUGCAGAAGAGGAGAGUGGAAUUCCACGUGUAGCGGUGAAAUGCGUAGAUAUGUGGAGGAACACCAGUGGCGAAGGCGACUCUCUGGGCUGUAACUGACGCUGAGGCGCGAAAGCGUGGGGGAGCAAACAGGAUUAGAUACCCUGGUAGUCCACGCCCGUAAACGAUGAAUGCUAGGUGUUAGGGGUUUCGAUACCCUUGGGUGCCG